GCAUAUCAAUAAGCGGAGGAAAAGAAACCAACAGGGAUUGCCCUAGUAACGGCGAGUGAAGCGGCAACAGCUCAAAUUUGAAAUCUGGCCUUCGGGUCCGAGUUGUAAUUUGUAGAGGAUGCUUUUGGUGCGGUGCCUUCCGAGUUCCCUGGAACGGGACGCCAUAGAGGGUGAGAGCCCCGUCUGGUUGGACACCAAUCCUCUGUAAAGCUCCUUCGACGAGUCGAGUAGUUUGGGAAUGCUGCUCUAAAUGGGAGGUAUAUGUCUUCUAAAGCUAAAUACCGGCCAGAGACCGAUAGCGCACAAGUAGAGUGAUCGAAAGAUGAAAAGCACUUUGAAAAGAGGGUUAAAUAGUACGUGAAAUUGUUGAAAGGGAAGCGCUUAUGACCAGACUUGAGCCCGGUUAAUCAUCCAGCCUUCUGGCUGGUGCACUUGGCCGGCUCAGGCCAGCAUCAGUUCGGCGCGGGGGAUAAAGGCUUCGGGAAUGUGGCUCCUCCGGGAGUGUUAUAGCCCGUUGUGUAAUACCCUGUACUGGACUGAGGUUCGCGCAUCUGCAAGGAUGCUGGCGUAAUGGUCAUCAGCGACCCGUCUUGAAACACGGACCAAGGAGUCGUCUUCGUAUGCGAGUGUUCGGGUGUCAAACCCCUACGCGUAAUGAAAGUGAACGCAGGUGAGAGCUUCGGCGCAUCAUCGACCGAUCCUGAUGUUCUCGGAUGGAUUUGAGUAAGAGCAUACGGAGCCGGACCCGAAAGAAGGUGAACUAUGCCUGUAUAGGGUGAAGCCAGAGGAAACUCUGGUGGAGGCUCGCAGCGGUUCUGACGUGCAAAUCGAUCGUCAAAUAUGGGCAUGGGGGGCGAAAGACUAAUCGAAGCUUCUAGUAGCUGGGUUUCCGCCGAAG
rnacentral:rRNA from 1 species